rnacentral:tRNA from 1 species
UCCCGGAUAGCUCAGUUGGUAGAGCAGCGCACUGUUAAUGCGCGGGUCACUGGUUCGAGUCCAGUUCUGGGAGC